UUAAGCGACUAAGCGUACACGGUGGAUGCCCUGGCAGUCAGAGGCGAUGAAGGACGUGCUAAUCUGCGAAAAGCGUCGGUAAGGUGAUAUGAACCGUUAUAACCGGCGAUGUCCGAAUGGGGAAACCCAGUGCAAUUCGUUGCACUAUCGUUAACUGAAUACAUAGGUUAACGAGGCGAACCGGGGGAACUGAAACAUCUAAGUACCCCGAGGAAAAGAAAUCAACCGAGAUUCCCCCAGUAGCGGCGAGCGAACGGGGAGCAGCCCGGAGUCUGAAUCAGCUUGUGUGUUAGUGGAAGCGUCUGGAAAGUCGCAGGGUACAGGGUGAUACUCCCGUACACUAAAACGCACAGGCUGUGAACUCGAAGAGUAGGGCGGGACACGUGGUAUCCUGUCUGAAUAUGGGGGGACCAUCCUCCAAGGCUAAAUACUCCUGACUGACCGAUAGUGAACCAGUACCGUGAGGGAAAGGCGAAAAGAACCCCGGCGAGGGGAGUGAAAAAGAACCUGAAACCGUGUACGUACAAGCAGUAGGAGCCCCACCACCAAAGCGUUUCGCUUUGCGUGGUGCGCAAAAUGCGUAACGACAGCAUGAUGGACGGUUAACGGAGCGUCAGCGACGUUCAACCUCAAAAAUCAGGCAGUGGAGCGUUUUGGGGUGGGGUGACUGCGUACCUUUUGUAUAAUGGGUCAGCGACUUAUAUUCUGUAGCAAGGUUAACCGAAUAGGGGAGCCGCAGGGAAACCGAGUCUUAACUGGGCGUUAAGUUGCAGGGUAUAGACCCGAAACCCGGUGAUCUAGCCAUGGGCAGGUUGAAGGUUGGGUAACACUAACUGGAGGACCGAACCGACUAAUGUUGAAAAAUUAGCGGAUGACUUGUGGCUGGGGGUGAAAGGCCAAUCAAACCGGGAGAUAGCUGGUUCUCCCCGAAAGCUAUUUAGGUAGCGCCUCGUGAACUCAUCUUCGGGGGUAGAGCACUGUUUCGGCUAGGGGGUCAUCCCGACUUACCAACCCGAUGCAAACUACGAAUACCGAAGAAUGUUAUCACGGGAGACACACGGCGGGUGCUAACGUCCGUCGUGAAGAGGGAAACAACCCAGACCGCCAGCUAAGGUCCCAAAGUCAUGGUUAAGUGGGAAACGAUGUGGGAAGGCCCAGACAGCCAGGAUGUUGGCUUAGAAGCAGCCAUCAUUUAAAGAAAGCGUAAUAGCUCACUGGUCGAGUCGGCCUGCGCGGAAGAUGUAACGGGGCUAAACCAUGCACCGAAGCUGCGGCAGCGACACUAUGUGUUGUUGGGUAGGGGAGCGUUCUGUAAGCCGUUGAAGGUGGCCUGUGAGGGUUGCUGGAGGUAUCAGAAGUGCGAAUGCUGACAUAAGUAACGAUAAUGCGGGUGAAAAACCCGCACGCCGGAAGACCAAGGGUUCCUGUCCAACGUUAAUCGGGGCAGGGUGAGUCGACCCCUAAGGCGAGGCCGAAAGGCGUAGUCGAUGGGAAACAGGUUAAUAUUCCUGUACUUGGUGUUACUGCGAAGGGGGGACGGAGAAGGCUAUGUUGGCCGGGCGACGGUUGUCCCGGUUUAAGCAUGUAGGCGGAUGUUCCAGGUAAAUCCGGAACGUCACUAACGCUGAGGUGUGAUGACGAGGCACUACGGUGCUGAAGUGACAAAUGCCCUGCUUCCAGGAAAAGCCUCUAAGCAUCAGGUAACAUCAAAUCGUACCCCAAACCGACACAGGUGGUCAGGUAGAGAAUACCAAGGCGCUUGAGAGAACUCGGGUGAAGGAACUAGGCAAAAUGGUGCCGUAACUUCGGGAGAAGGCACGCUGAUGGUAGGUGAAGUGACUUGCUCAUGGAGCUGAAAUCAGUCGAAGAUACCAGCUGGCUGCAACUGUUUAUUAAAAACACAGCACUGUGCAAACACGAAAGUGGACGUAUACGGUGUGACGCCUGCCCGGUGCCGGAAGGUUAAUUGAUGGGGUUAUCCUCACGGAGAAGCUCUUGAUCGAAGCCCCGGUAAACGGCGGCCGUAACUAUAACGGUCCUAAGGUAGCGAAAUUCCUUGUCGGGUAAGUUCCGACCUGCACGAAUGGCGUAAUGAUGGCCAGGCUGUCUCCACCCGAGACUCAGUGAAAUUGAACUCGCUGUGAAGAUGCAGUGUACCCGCGGCAAGACGGAAAGACCCCGUGAACCUUUACUAUAGCUUGACACUGAACACUGGUCCUUGAUGUGUAGGAUAGGUGGGAGGCUUUGAAGUGUGGACGCCAGUCUGCAUGGAGCCAUCCUUGAAAUACCACCCUUUAAUGGCUGGUGUUCUAACGUGGGCCCGUGAUCCGGGUUGCGGACAGUGUCUGGUGGGUAGUUUGACUGGGGCGGUCUCCUCCUAAAGAGUAACGGAGGAGCACGAAGGUCAGCUAAUCCUGGUCGGACAUCAGGAGGUUAGUGCAAUGGCAUAAGCUGGCUUGACUGCGAGCGUGACGGCGCGAGCAGGUGCGAAAGCAGGUCAUAGUGAUCCGGUGGUUCUGAAUGGAAGGGCCAUCGCUCAACGGAUAAAAGGUACUCCGGGGAUAACAGGCUGAUACCGCCCAAGAGUUCAUAUCGACGGCGGUGUUUGGCACCUCGAUGUCGGCUCAUCACAUCCUGGGGCUGAAGUAGGUCCCAAGGGUAUGGCUGUUCGCCAUUUAAAGUGGUACGCGAGCUGGGUUUAGAACGUCGUGAGACAGUUCGGUCCCUAUCUGCCGUGGGCGCUGGAGAAUUGAGGGGGGCUGCUCCUAGUACGAGAGGACCGGAGUGGACGCAUCACUGGUGUUCGGGUUGUCAUGCCAAUGGCAUUGCCCGGUAGCUAAAUGCGGAAGAGAUAAGUGCUGAAAGCAUCUAAGCACGAAACUUGCCCCGAGAUGAGUUCUCCCUGACCCUUUAAGGGUCCUGAAGGAACGUUGAAGACGACGACGUUGAUAGGCCGGGUGUGUAAGCGCAGCGAUGCGUUGAGCUAACCGGUACUAAUGAACCGUGAGGCUUAACCUU
rnacentral:rRNA from 1 species